GACGAACGCUGGCGGCGUGCUUAACACAUGCAAGUCGAACGGAAAGGCCCUGCUUUUGGGGGGAGCUGGAGUGGCGAACGGGUGAGUAACACGUGAGUAACCUUCCCUUGACUUUGGGAUAACUUCAGGAAACUGGGGCUAAUACCGGAUAGGAGCUCCUGCUGCAUGUGGGGGGUGGGAAAGGUUCGGCGGUUGGGGAUGGACUCGCGGCGUAUCCGCUUGUUGGUGGGGUGGUGGAUUACCAAGGCUUUGACGGGUAGCCGGCCUGAGGGGGUGACCGGCCCGGCUGGGACUGAGCUACGGCCCAGACUACUAUGGGAGGCAGCAGUGCGGUAUAGUACACAGCGGGCGGAAGCAUGAUGUAGUGACGCGGCGCGCCGUAUGCCGUCAUUCGCGUUGUAGUGUGAUUUUGCCUCUGACGAAGCGUGAGUGACGGUACUGGGUAAAGAAGCUCCGGCUAACUACGUG
rnacentral:rRNA from 1 species